AUAAUAAUAAUAAUAAUAAACACCUAGUCUUAAGGGAUGCAACUGGUGGAGCCUGAAAGGAAAAUAGAAAUUUGAAAGAAUUGAGUCACGAAUUCAACAGUUGUUAGGGUAUGCCUUUAGAUAGUUCUCCUGCUUUCUGAACAAAUCGAUCUUGUUCAUAAAAUCAUGACCAAUAAACUCAAAUGCAUUAAAGUCAACAUAUCUUCUUCCUUUUUUUUUUUUUUCGUCUCUUCAACUCAAUUAUGAUUCUUGAUGUCUUUAUAUCCUCUCAGUUUCCACCUUUACACAUUAUUAGAUAAGAUAAAGGAUUGACAGCUAAGGAGAGUGACAAGUGAAGAAAUGGAUUUAUUCACAAAAUUCUUAGUACACAUUUGACAAACACUCCAGCAGAAAGACUAAAAGGGAUAGUUUUCUUCACAUACAUGAUGACCAUUUCUGUUAAAGCAAUGAGCAGUUUGCCUAAGCAUGCUUCCUGUUUUUACUAUUUUAUUCAUUAGUACUAUCCACUAUGGAUGAAAUAUAACCUAUAGCAUCUGAUAUAGAAAGGAAAUCUUGAUUAUUCUGUGAUCUAACAAGUAUCAGUUUCACCUGGGAUAAUUACAGCUUCAGUUUGCUCAGAUGCUUUGGCUUUAAAGAAUUUGCUUCAACCAGUAGCCAUUUACCUUUAAUCAAUGAACCACUGGUACUUAUUAUAUGAUUUAUAUCAUGUCCUCUUCUAACAGUGCUUAGUGCUAUAUAGCAGGUCGCCUAAUUGUCCAAUCCUUCAUUUUAACUUUUAAUUUCUUAUCAUCCAUGCCUGCUUUUAUCACUUCUCAAAAAUUAACUUUGAAGCACUAGCCUUGCAGGCAAAGAUCAUCUAGUUUCCAUGGAUUGUAGUUCGAACAGGCUCAAUCUGUUUACUGCUCAAACACUUUAGAAUGCAAAGCGGCUCUUCAUUAUACAAUUCAACUUCAAUAUGAAACCUACCAUUGAUCUUGAAGUGGAGGCCUUCUCUGAAAAUGAUUCCGAGGUCAACAGCCAAGUAGCUUCCAACUUAUCCAUCCAUGAAAAUUCUGCAGGUCCCUCCAAUGACAGCCUCACUAACUGUUCCAAUCUCACAAAUGCCAUAGCUGCUACUUCCGUUUCGGAACCAGUUUCCCUAGAUUUAACCCUUUGUUUCAAUGAUGAUGAAUUAGAGAAAAGAGGGUCAAUGGGACUCUCUUUGUCAAGCACUGGCGAGAGUAGCAAUGAACCUGUAACUCGUACAGCUGCAGCAGCCAUGCCACGAGUUUUUUUCGUGCAAUUAUUGUCGGCGGAAAUUCUUCAGCUCACAGGCACUUGGUGGUCACCAGAAUGCACAUAAGAGGGAGAGAACAAUAGCAAAGCGGGCAAUGAGGAUGGGCAUUUUUUCUGAAAGGCAUGUCAGCCUGGCAUCUCUGCCUUUACAUGGAUCUUCAUUUAGGUCCCUGGGAAUCAAAGCACACUCUUCAGUACAUCAGGAUAUUUCACCACCAGUAAGGCCACAAGAUAACAGAAAUACUGCAAGAUUUGAUCAGGGGUACUUUGGGUUGCCAAUAUUCGUGGACGAUGAUGAGGCAGAGCUGUUAUGGCCAGGUAGUUUCCGCCAGGUAGCUGAGGCAGAUGAUACACAUCAAAGUUUUGUACUCACAGGAAAUUCAAAUGUGAAUUUUUUAGGGGAAACUCCAUCAGCAGACUCAGGCAAUUCCAUGCCAGACCUCACAUUGAAACUUUGAGUCCUUCAGGAGGAGUCAGGACUGGCUUCAGUCUGUCAGCUUUAAUAUUCUCUCCUUGUAUAGCAAUAUGUACUUGAGCAAUGGCUUAGCAUUUAUUCUUACGCGUACUUUCUUAUCUGAUUUUCACUUUGGUUUUGUAUGUUAGUGUAUAAGAGCUUCACAAGGAUUAUUUGGGAGCUUCAAUGCUUGUUCUGAUUUAUAUGAUGCUUUCGAUUUGCUGUAACUGCUAAAGCUAAUUGCUUGUUUGAUCACAUUUCCUUAUCUUUUCCAUUUCUGUUACUGUACUGAUGGAAUAUAAGACGGAAUUACAGUCAGAUGGGUCUGACAGGCAUGCUUUGC
rnacentral:misc_RNA from 1 species